rnacentral:rRNA from 1 species
GAUGAACGCUAGCUACAGGCUUAACACAUGCAAGUCGCAGGGUAACAUGAGGAAAGCUUGCUUUCCUUGAUGACGACUGGCGCACGGGUGAGUAACGCGUAUCCAACCUUCCCAUAACUACGGGAUAACCCGUUGAAAGACGGCCUAAUACCGUAUGAUAUCGUUUGCUGACAUCAAAUAACGAUUAAAGGUUUAGCGGUUAUGGAUGGGGAUGCGUCUGAUUAGCUUGUUGGCGGGGUAACGGCCCACCAAGGCGACGAUCAGUAGGGGUUCUGAGAGGAAGGUCCCCCACAUUGGAACUGAGACACGGUCCAAACUCCUACGGGAGGCAGCAGUGAGGAAUAUUGGUCAAUGGGCGAGAGCCUGAACCAGCCAAGUAGCGUGCAGGACGACGGCCCUAUGGGUUGUAAACUGCCUUUAUGUGGGGAUAAAGUGCGUGACGUGUCAUGCAUUGCAGGUACCACAUGAAUAAGGACCGGCUAAUUCCGUG